AGUUUGUCCCUACCCCCUCGCUGGUAUAUAAAGGCUCGUAGCUACACCCAUCACCAUCACACACAUACACCCACAGUCAUCAUGAAGUCUGUUAUCUUCGCCUGCCUGUUCGCCGUCGCCCUUGCGGCCCCCCAACAGAACCCACUGGGUCUCGCUGAAGUUCUCGUCGACGAGCGAGUGGAUAACGGUGACGGAACCUUCCAGUACAACUUCCAGACCAGCAAUGACAUCGCCGCACAGAGGACCGGCUCCGUCGGCUCAGCUGGCCAGAGCAACACCAGGGAGUCUACAGGUUCCUGACCCCCGAGGGCGAGACCGUCGAAGUGAGCUACACCGCCGACGAGAACGGCUUCCAGCCCCAGUUCCCCCUUCCUCCCCACCGAGCACCCCCUCCCCGCUCACGUGUACGAGCUCCUCGCCAUCGCCGAGCAGCAGCGCGCUCAGGGCAUCCAGUUCGACAACAGGGUUUCCGAAUAUAACUAAAGAAAAGAACAAAAAAUAUGCCAUAACGACAAUUCUAUACUACAAUUUUCUGUAGAUAUUUUUACUAUGCAAUUUCGAGAUAACAACCAGAUAACAUACAUUACAAAAAAACAAAGAAGCACAUUUUGCAUUUAAAAAUCAUACAUACAUUUUGACAGUGAAAAUGACAAUACAAAUUCUACAGCCUGGCGUUAUCUUCAAUUGUACUCUUUAGCAAUAAAAACUUAAAGAAAU